GAAAAUUAGGUAAAAUAAUUUCAGAUUCUUUCUGUUAUCGCUUGCACUCUGUGAGAAGACUUAAAACUCCCCAAAAAUCUGGAUGCAGGGGCGUGGCCUAGCAACAGCAAAGACGGCUGCGAUGCAAGAAGAGUCAAGUGCAGUCAGGUCAAACGGUAAUUAAAGGACCUGGAACCCCGGCAAAGCGGAGAGAUCGUGAACUAACGGUACAAUAGUUGAACCUUGUACCGGAUCGAGCCGUGCGCAAAAGGGGAAAUAACGGGGUCUUCGCGGCAUAUAAAGGGGCGGUGCAAAUCCAGCUCGAGGCAGUCAGUCACAACACACACGCGAGGAGCCGUACGUACGCGAAGAUAGUCGAGGAGAGUAACCGGCGCGGUCAGGACGCGGCCGCGUAGUCGGACGGUCGGAACGGAGUCUGAAGGCGAAGGAAUAGACAGUUAGUGAACUAGGCCGCGCGUGGAAAGAUCAACCCGUGGACGAUACACCCUGCCCCAUAACAUUCAAAUCCCGUUCGAGCCGGCACGUGGUCUGUUGUCAAGAAAGCACAGGACAACGCAGGAAAGGCAUCGCAGGAGCAACGCGAUCACCGGAGGAGUCAGCCGUUUGGUGGGACGAGCGCAUAAACUCUCUGAGCUAACCGUUGCAACGCAGAAAUAGGAAAACCAGUUCAUUACAACUCAUUACUACUAACGAGUGACACCUGUCAACCGAAACAUAUUGCACAUUGUAGAGAAUUUAACCUCACCACGAGACUUAUUUAAGCUGGAUACCAUUACGUAUGGCUGACGGCAGAUUGCGGGGGAGAAGCGAAGUAAAGCGAAGCGAGAAUCUAUGACAAAGCGAGAAGACGGAAGAGUAAGAGCUUUGCGAAACACGAUUUAUAUUGCUAUCUUUUAGUUAUUAAUGUGAACGUGUGGAGGCGGACGAGGAAUUUUUUGCAUCAAGCGCAACUAAUAGCUUUCUGUUAAAAAAAAAUGGUGUCUACCCCCUGAACUGCAAUUGAAAUGAAAAAGGCGAAUUCAAUAAUUUAUAUAAUGUCUUAC
ensembl:ncRNA lncRNA:CR45174 long non-coding RNA:CR45174